GUAAUACUCCCUCCGUCCCAAAAUUUUUGUCUUAUUGUCUAGAUACGGAUGUAUCUAACACUAAAAUGUAACUAGAUACAUCCGCGGUUAGACAAAUGUAAGACAAGAUUUUUGAAACGGGGGAAGUAUGUA
rfam:Triticum urartu cultivar G1812 contig498677, whole genome shotgun sequence.